UCCGACUUGUUCCACACAUCUCACAUAUGCUUAACCAACCGGAAUUAUCAAACGUGCAUGCAGGGCACCUCCAUAUGAUAGGGGCAGUUCUUCGUGUGUCACUUCCACCAACAGUUCCUCGACCAUAAAUCCUAGGCCGCCGAAACAGGUAUCGUGCAAACCUCAAAGGCCAACUCAAUACACCAGUAGCACCUCUAAUGAUUGUAGUCAGCGGGUCUGAACCCGAAUAACCACCUUUCAACUUCAAAUACAGAAUCCCAGCAAGUAUACCACCAAGAUGACCAAGAAAGGAGACACCAGGCACAAACAUCUGAAUAAUAAUCAACUCUGCCCAAGCAGCAUAUCGUGCCGGUACCAACAGCCCAUGUACGUUAGUAUAGUCUUCAGACCGAGAAUUGAGAACAACUUUCAUGGCAAAAAGGACACCAGAAAACCCAACAGCAUAUUCAGAGUAAUAUGCUCUCUCGUAAUCAAAGAAAAGUACAAGGGAUUUGGCUAGUAGCAGUGUGAUGCCCUGGGACAUGCCAAGUAGUGCAACAACCAUAGCAGCAAAUUCAUUACUUCCCAUUGAAGUUUCCAACUGAAUCCCCUUCCAUAAAAGUGACAUCAUAUUGUAGAACAGGUGAGAUUCACUCGCAUGAUAGAAUGGCGACAAGAAGAAUCGUUUGAGGUCCUUGUACUGUUCAUCAAAUGAAAACAUCAAACAUUAAUCCAACAUGAGCAAAUAAUAAAAAAUAUGAUUUUGGAAUCGGUGUUAAACUGAACUCUUUUGCCACGCGCAUUUAUAACAGUGUAUCGUUAAGAUUUAAUCACAUAUAAUUUCUUGCUCCGCAGCAUAUUAAUUGCAGCGCUUACUGCAACAGUAUCUGUUCUAGCUUCUAAGAAGGCUGGAAAGUCACAAUUUAUCUAAUGAGUCAUCGAAUCAAUCAAGAUUGAUUGUCAACCAAAUCUUUCAAUUCUUCGAUGGCGUAAUUCUUCCAAGGGAAUAUUGGAAUGACGUGACAGCUGAUCAGAUGACAAAUCAUUGCCACUCCGACUUGUUCCACACAUCUCACAUAUGCUUAACCAACCGGAAUUAUCAAACGUGCAUGCAGGGCACCUCCAUAUGAUAGGGGCAGUUCUUCGUGUGUCACUUCCACCAACAGUUCCUCGACCAUAAAUCCUAGGCCGCCGAAACAGGUAUCGUGCAAACCUCAAAGGCCAACUCAAUACACCAGUAGCACCUCUAAUGAUUGUAGUCAGCGGGUCUGAACCCGAAUAACCACCUUUCAACUUCAAAUACAGAAUCCCAGCAAGUAUACCACCAAGAUGACCAAGAAAGGAGACACCAGGCACAAACAUCUGAAUAAUAAUCAACUCUGC
rnacentral:lncRNA from 1 species